rnacentral:rRNA from 1 species
CCUACGGGUGGCAGCAGUGAGGAAUAUUGGUCAAUGGGCGCGAGCCUGAACCAGCCAAGUAGCGUGAAGGAUGACUGCCCUACGGGUUGUAAACUUCUUUUAUAAAGGAAUAAGGUGAGGCACGUGUGACUUUUUGUAUGUACUUUAUGAAUAAGGAUCGGCUAACUCCGUGCCAGCAGCCGCGGUAAUACGGAGGAUGCGAGCGUUAUGCGGAUUUAUUGGGUUUAAAGGGAGCGUAGAUGGGUUGUUAAGUCAGUUGUGAAAGUUUGCGGCUCAACCGUAAAAUUGCAAUUGAUACUGGUCGUCUUGAGUACAGUUGAGGUAGGCGGAAUUCGUGGUGUAGCGGUGAAAUGCUUAGAUAUCACGAAGAACUCCGAUUGCGAAGGCAGCUUACUAAACUGCCACUGACAUUGAUGCUCGAAAGUGUGGGUAGCAAACAGGAUUAGAUACCCGGGUAGUC